GGGAGGAUUGCUUGAGUCCAGGAGUUUGAGCCUGCAGUGAGCCAUGAUUGUACCACUGCACUCCAGCCUGGGCAACAGAGUAAGACCCUGUCUCGAAACAAAACGAAAAAAAACCAACUAUGGGUUUGGGUUUCAGACCAGCCUGAAGCUAAGCCUGCUCACGGUGCUCUCGGGACAUUUGCCUUCAUCUCGCUGCAUCUAGAGCAAACAGGAAGGUGUUAGGAGAGGCAGGAAGGCGGGGUUUCCAUCAGCAUCAGGCAGGAGGGGACAAAGGAGUUUUUCAUGCCUGGCAGAAUCCUCACUCUAAGAUGGUAGGAAUGUACAGUUACAGCUAUAUAUCCCUUUGGGAAACUUUUUGGGAAGUAGGAAGAUCUACCUCCAUCUGACUGUGGUAUUUUCUGCUUUAUGAAAAGCAGAGAUAUGUGCUUUUCAUGUAGCUUUAUGAAUGUAAUCUUCUAUCCUGUGACAGAAAAAGAAAGAGAAAGGAAGAAAGAGGGAGAAAGAAGGAAGGAAAGAAAGAAGAAAAUGAAGGAAAGAAAGAAGAAAAGGAAGGAAUGAAGAAAGGAAGGAAGAAGGAAGAAGGGAGGGAAGGAGGGAGGAAGGAAUGUAGGAAGGAAGGAAGGGAGGAGAACUUGAUAUUUGAUAACUGUGUUUGUGAGCAUCUUUCUGGUCAUCCUAUCAUCUUCUCAUUUUGACAGGCACAUGUCAAACUUCAGUGCUGCCUGAUCUCUUUCCCUUCACUGAGACUUGAUUUUAUCUGGUGACAGUUUUCCUUUUAACCAGUUAUCAGGAGUAGGCGGCUUGUAUUCCCUUUCCCCUUUAAAAUUCAUACCUUUAAACUUCAUAGUCACACAUGUUGCUACAUAACAUAUUACCACAGACUUAGCCACUUAAAACAACCCUCCUUUAUGAGCUCACAGGGAUGUGGUCCACAGGCUAGGAGAGGGCUGGGUCCUUAGGGUCUCACAGGGUCAAAAUGGAGGCAGAUGCUGGAUGGCGCGCUUAUCUGGACGUCCUUGAGAAGAAGAAUCAGCUUUCGACCUCCUUCAGGCUGUUGACAGAAUUCAGAUCCUGUGGCUGGUGAGGACGGAGGACCCCUUCCUUGCUGGCUGUCAGGUUUCUCAUCUUUUGAUGAGCAAUCUUGAAACUGGAUUCUGUUUCAACAACUGUGCUUAUGCUUUAAAGGGGAAGACAUGCUGACCCUUCUGGUGGCACCUUUCAGGGUGCAGAGGAUUGCUGUGGUGCUAGCUUUGAUGGAUUGUUUGCAAAAGUGGCUGCAAUUAUUCAGCUCCCUCUGCAGUGGUGGAGUCUGUGUCCACUCCGCUUGACUCUCAGCUGAUCCUGUGGCCUGCUUAGACCAAGAGACUGCAAAAGAAGUGACUGUCUGUGCUGAGCCCUCAUCUCUAGAGACAAUGCACGCUUCCACCUGCCCCUUUCAAACUCUGCUGAGCUGCCUUGUGAACAAACAGCCCAGGCUCCUCAUCCAGCCCAAUCCAGAGGCAGAGCAGAUGGCAGUUGCUUGAGGGAAGGCAUCUGAGGUCAGCAGAACUAGAGAUUCACCAGAAGGAACUUAUGGCUGUUAUUUUAAGACACUAAGUUUUGGGUUGCUUUGCUAAUAUGCUCAUAGUUCCAUUUCUCUUCGGAGACAGGUCAAACGGAUAAGUCCCACCCUGUUCUUGGGAGCAACAUUAAACAGUAGUCUGGGACAAAGGUUUCUCACAGAAACUUCACGAGCAUGAUAGACUCCAUAUGUUUCAAUAACAGGCAAAGUAUCUUUCUGUGAAAGUCACACUCAGAUUUUGUGUAAUUUACUGAAGAACUCCAGUUAAAAGCCACAAUAUUUUAUUUCCAUCUUUUUCCUAAGAGUGGAAAAAAACCAUUAAAUGUGUGAUACAUUUUAGGGGCUUCAGACUUAAAGGAGAAUUUAAUUGAGGGUCUUCAGGACCUCUGAUCUUUCAAAAUCCUCUAGUGGUGCCAUUCACACAGCAUUGGCCAAAUUUUGGGGGUCGUGUCUGAAAUGUUUGGAUAACAAAAAAGUCUUUUUAGGUUAAAAAUUAUUUUACUUGAUUUCUUUUCUUAAGUAAUAUUUACAGGGUACUUUAUCUUUUUUACUUUAUCUCUUACAGAACAUUUAAACCUUAUAACUUUAAGAUGUAGGUAUUAUCCCCCAAACCCUCCCCCACAAAACACACAUGAUACAUGAAAAAAACUGAGGCUCAGAGAGAUGAAGUCACUUCCCAUAAUGGAAGAGGCAGGGCAUGUUCUUAUUACCAUCUGACACCAAAACUCAUCCUUUUUCCGCAUGUUAGUAAAUGAUCAGAGGUUUGGCAUCAGAUAGUAUAUUUCCUUUAAGGCCUUCAAAAUGUUAAUCAUUUCUCUUCUUGCACAUUUUUUUUUUUAGAGACGGAAUUUCGUUCUUGUUGCCCAGGCUGGAGUGCAAUGGUGCGAUCUCAGCUCACUGCAACCUCUGCCUCCCUGGUUCAAGUGAUUCUCCUGCUUCAGCCUCCUGAGUAGCUGGGAUUACAGGCACGCGCCACCACACCUGGCUAAUUUUGUGUUUUUAGUAGAGAUGGGGUUUUACCAUGCUGUCCAGGCUAGUCUCGAACUCCUGACCUCAGGUGAUCCACCCGCCUUGGCCUCCCAAAGUGCUGGGAUUACAGGCAUGAGCCUUCAUACCCGGUCAAACAUCUGUCUUUAAUUUAGAAAAUACGGAGUAAAGAAAUCAUUAACUUAUAAGUAUAAGCCAUUUAAUUUUUUAAAAAGGUCAAGUCCAGUUGAUCACACCUGUAAUCCCAGCACUUUGGGAGGUGGAGGCAGGUGGAUCACUUGAGACCAGGAGUUCGAGAGCAGCUUGGGCAACAUGGCGAAACCCUGUCUCUACAAAAAAUACAAAAAUUAGCCCCAUGUGGUGACGCAUGCCUGCAGUCCCAGCUAUUCAGGAGGCUGAGGUAGGAGGACAGCUUGAGCCUGGGAGGCAGAGGUUGCAGUGAGCCAUGAUAGUGCCACUAUGCUCCAGCCUGGGCAACAGAGCCAGACCAUGCCUCCAAAAAACACAAACACAUACACACACACACACACACACACACACACACACACACAACCCCACAAAAAAUCCCAUAAGUUCUCUCCAGUCUUACUUGUAUGCUCAGCUUUCAAAUGUUUAUAAUGUACCACUAACGUUACUAGUGCAUGGCGUUCACCCUUCCUGUCAACAUUUUAUUAUGAAUAUUUUAAAAGUCCAGAAAAAUCAAAAGUUUUUUCUUUUCUUUGACAGAGUCUUGCUCUGUCACCCAGUCUGGAG
rnacentral:lncRNA from 1 species